rnacentral:RNase_P_RNA from 1 species
AACCCCCGGCCAGGGCGUGCAGGUACGCCGGCGCGCCCGCCGGUAAGUGUGAAAGGGUGCGGCAAGAGCGCACCGCGUCGCCGGUAACGGCGGCGGGAGGGUAAACCCCACCGGGAGCAAGACCAAAUAGGGACCGCACGGAGGCAACUCCACUCGCGUUUUCGGAGCAGCGGUCCGGGUUGGUUGCACCAGGCGUUCAGCGAUGGACGUCGCAGAUGAAUGGCCACCGCGUCGCACGUUUCGGCGUGCGGCCCUACAGAACCCGGCUUACAGGUCAACUGGCACU